CCUACGGGAGGCAGCAGUAGGGAAUAUUGCUCAAUGGGGGAAACCCUGAAGCAGCAACGCCGCGUGGAGGAUGAAGGUUUUCGGAUUGUAAACUUCUUUUGUUAGAGAAGAUAAUGACGGUAACUAACGAAUAAGCACCGGCCAACUCAGUGCCAGCAGCCGCGGUAAUAAGGAGGGGGCAAGCGUUACUCGGAAUCACUGGGCGUAAAGAGCGCGUAGGCGGGUUAGCAAGUCAGAUGUGAAAUCCUAUGGCUUAACCAUAGAACUGCAUUUGAAACUGUUAUUCUUGAGUAUGGGAGAGGUAGGUGGAAUUCUUGGUGUAGCGGUGAAAUCCGUAGAGAUCAAGAGGAAUACUCAUUGCGAAGGCGGCCUGCUAGAACAUAACUGACGCUGAUGCGCGAAAGCGUGGGGAGCAAACAGGAUUAGAUACCCUUGUAGUC
rnacentral:rRNA from 1 species